rnacentral:tRNA from 1 species
UUUAAUAAAUUUAAAAUUUUAUUUGAAAUAAAAUUCAAGACUUUUUGUAGUUUUAUUAAAA